rnacentral:misc_RNA from 1 species
GAGAUGCCAAGCGUGAAGAAAAGGUUUCUAGCAUGAGCUUAAUUUAGUGGAUUUCAAUGGAAUCUGUCUAUUUGGACCAAUAUAGUUUGGGUUUUAGGUUUUUCUAAGUCUGAAAUGGGAAACGAUAUAUGAUCGAUAGAAGUAAUUAGGUGAUCUGGUUAGGUUAGGGAGAGCCGGUUCUGUGAAUAGAAACAAGCAUAGAUUUUGUUCUGCUUUAACUUUAAUAUUCCUCUGUAUGCAAAGAAUUUUGAUAGGGGCAAUCUAAUGAGUGUACAGGCUUCAACAUUUUUAGCCCUUACGAUCUGGGAAGUGAGAGUUGAAUGAUGAUUAAAGUUCAUCGAUAUUUCCCACUAAAUUUUGGCUCUAGUGUAACUGAUUAGUAUGAAUACUGUGAGCAUUUGGCAAUGGUUUAUUGAAAUUUCCCUUGCUUAUAUUCUACAUUUUUUCAUAUUUUAUUUUG